rnacentral:rRNA from 1 species
UACGGGAGGCAGCAGUGGGGAAUAUUGCACAAUGGGCGCAAGCCUGAUGCAGCCAUGCCGCGUGUAUGAAGAAGGCCUUCGGGUUGUAAAGUACUUUCAGUCGUGAGGAAGGUGUUAAGGUUAAUAACCUUAGCAAUUGACGUUAGCGACAGAAGAAGCACCGGCUAACUCCGUGCCAGCAGCCGCGGUAAUACGGAGGGUGCGAGCGUUAAUCGGAAUUACUGGGCGUAAAGGGCACGCAGGCGGUUAAUUAAGUUGGAUGUGAAAUCCCCGGGCUUAACCUGGGAAUGGCAUUCAAGACUGGUUAGCUAGAGUCUUGUAGAGGGGGUAGAAUUCCAUGUGUAGCGGUGAAAUGCGUAGAGAUGUGGAGGAAUACCGAUGGCGAAAGCGGCCCCUGGGACAAAGACUGACGCUCAUGUGCGAAAGCGUGGGGAGCGAAACAGGAUUAGAUACC